rnacentral:tRNA from 1 species
UCAACAAUAGCUCAGUCAGUAAAUCAUCUGCCUGCAAUGCAGGAGACCCAGGUUUGAUUCCUGGGUUGGG